ensembl:lncRNA
AAAUAUAGUAAUAAUAUGCUAUCAUAAGAUACAGACACCUUAAGCUGAAUGCUGAUUUAUUGGUUGGAAUUCAUCAAGUUGCUUAGUUACACAUGUGCUCAAUUAUAUCUGGCAAAAUUACAUAUGAAUUUGCCAUUGACCCGGCAAUACCAGUUCUGGGAAUUUAUCCCAUGGACAUACAGUCAUGUGUUGCGUAACAAUGAGGAUACAUUCUGAGAAAUGAGUAGUUGGGCAAUUAUGUCAUUGUGUGAACAUCAUAGGGUGUGCUUACACAAACCCAGAUGGAGUAGCCUACUACACACCUAGGCUAUAUGGUACUAAUCUUAUGGGACCUCUAUCCUAUGUGUGGCCUGUCCUUGACCAAAACGUCCUUAUGCGGCGCGUGACUAUAGUGGCAAAAAUAUGAAAACAUGUAUUUCCAUGACUAUUCAUUAUGGUUAGUGAAUAGGGUUACAAGUAGUAACACUCAAAGAAUGGAAGUACCGCCACAUGUGCCUAUAAGGAAAUUGGUUAAAUAAAUUCCGGCACUUGCACACAUGGCGUACAAUGCAGCUGUAACAAGGAAUGAGGAAUAUCUAUAUACCACUGUGGAAUGAUCUUCAGAAUAUAGUGUUAAGUGAAAAAAGCAAAGUAGUGAAAUGUGUUCUUUGUAUGCUAUCAUUUAAGAAAAGGGAACUAGAAAAAUGUGUAAACACUUGCUUACAAUGAAAAAAAAGAAAAAUAAAUGAAUUUUUUUUAAAAGAGGGUUACCUUUAAGGACAAGGAGAAAAUAGGGUGAAGAGGACAGGAAUAGAAGCUAGACUUAUUUAAAUAUAGGCUUUUUAGGUUUAUAGCUUAGAGUUUUAAAUUCAAAGCUAAAAGUAAUUUAAAUAAAUAAAAUAAAUGAAUAAAAUUUAAACAAAAAGUUUAUUUUUGUUAAGUUAAAAACCAAAUUAACUUUUGAAAAGAGAUCUCAAAACUGAAAAUAAAGUGAAGCAAAUCAACCUAUCAAUAUAUUCCAUAACACACAGAGAGGAACUUUUUCAAGUGACUAUAAAACAGUAAUUUGAGUAUGUAUUUGUAGUGGGAUAUUCUUUAGAGAAUAGGACAGAACUUUCAAAAGAAUUUAAUGUUCUUAGUAUUUGUAGUGGUAGUGGUAAUUUUUUAAUGCAUUUUGGGUUUUUAAUGUGAAAUGUGAGAUAAAGAAAAUGAAUAGUUAUAUGAUCUAGUCAUGUGCUGCGUGAUAACAUUUUGGUCAACAAUGAACGUUAUGUACAACAGUGGUCCUGCAAGAUGAUAAUGGGCCUGAAAAAUUCCUAUUGCCUAGUGACAUCAUAGCCAUCGUAAUGUUAUACUGCAGCACAUUACUUAUUACAUGUUUGUGGUGAUGCUGGUGUAAGCAAAGCUACUGCUCUGACAGUUAUAUAAAAGCAUAGCACGUACAAUUUUGUACAGUACAUCAUACUUGAUAAUAAAUGACUAUGUUACUGGUUUGUGUAUUUAUUAUACUUUUUACUGUUGUUUUAGAGUGUACUCUUUCUACUUAUAAAAAAAGUUUACUGUAAAAUAGUAUGCUGUGUUAUGCUGGGAGCAGCCUCAUACAUCUUGUGUUUACCACGUCUUUUGAUUGCAUUAUUUUCUCUUGUGCUUGAUUUAAGCUUGUGUCGUUUUUUUUUGUCAUGGCCCCUAAGCAUACAAAAUGCACUGCUAAAGUUGCCAAUAAGAGGCCAUGUUGAACAAUUGAUCUGGAAACGGAAUUAAGAGUGAUUAAGCACUACAAAAGUGGAAAAUCAGUGAUGGUUGUUCCUCACCAGUCAGGCAUAUCCCAUUCCACCAUAACUUAGAUCUUGAAGAAUAAGAACAAAGUGAUGGAAGCUGUUAAAGGAUCUGCUUCAUUGAAGGCAAGAAGACUAACAAAAAUUUAAGAAGGGCCUAUAUCAGACAUGAAGAAACUCUAAUGACCUGGAUUGAAGACCAGACACAAAACUGAAUCCCUCUGAGCACCAUGACAAUCACAGCUAAAGCAAAAAGUUUGUUUGCAAUGUUGAAAGAAAAGCUAGACCCAAUUAUGACGUUGAAUUUACAACUAGCUCUUGAUGGUUUAAAUGAUUCAAGAAUCAUUAUUCAUUACAGAAUGUGAAAGUGAGUGGCGAGUCUGCGAGUGCUGAUGUGAAAGUAGCUGAAGAAUUUUUGGAAACUCUAGAUAAGCUGAUUGUGGAGGAAAAUUACUUGCCAGAGCAAAUAUUCAAUAUGGAUAAAAUCUCACUAUUCUGGAAACAGAUGCGUGAAAGGACUUUCAUCCAAAAGGAGGCUAAGUCAAUUCCAGGUUUCCAAAGCUUGUAAGGACAGGAUAACAGUCUUGCUUGGGGACAAUGUUGCAGGCUACAAAUUGAAACUCUUCAUGGUCUGGCACAGUAAGAACCCCAGGGCCUUCAAGCAUAUUGAUAAGCACACACUGUCAGUGGACUACAGGAGCAAGAAGAAGUCAUGGGUGACCCAUCAUCUCUUCCAAGAUGCCUUCUUGAAUUGCUGUGCCAGCAAAAUGGAGAAGAAUUAUUUGGAGAAUAACAUACAUUUCAAGGUUUUGCUUUUCGUUUCUAAUGCUCCUGGACAGCCUCCUUUUAUUGGUGUUCUUCAUCCCACUAUCAGAGUGUUAUUUCUCCCUCUUUGAUCCAAAAGAGGAUCUCAAAAGGAAGCAAAACAAACACCACCUCUUUGAUCCAACUAGUAGAUCAAGGAGUUAUAGCAGCUGGUAAGACAUACUACCUGAGGAUGACCUUUGCGAAGGCUAUUGCUGCAACUGAAGAAGACAUUGAUGCAAUUCUGGAAGGAUUACAACAUCUAUGACUGCAUCAAGAACUUUGCUAAGGGGGCUGGCCCCGUGGCCGAGUGGUUAAGUUCGCGCUCCGCUGUAGGCGGCCCAGUGUUUCAUUGGUUUGAAUCCUGGGAGCGGACAUGGCACUGCUCAUCAGACCACGCUGAGGCAGCGUCCCACAUGCCACAACUAGAAGGACCCACAACAAAGAAUAUACAACUAUGUACCGGGGGGCUUUGGGGAGAAAAAGGGAAAAAAUAAAAUCUUUAAAAAAAAAAAAAAGAACUUUGCUAAGGCUUGGGGUGAUGUCACCAAGGAGUGUAUGAAUGACGUCCAGAAGAAGACACUUAGGAGGUUCAUUCAUGACUUCAAAGGAUUUGACAAGGAUGAGAAGACUGCAAAAAUCAACAGGCUCUGGUUGAGAUAGCAAACAACUUCAACCUGGGUGUGAAUGAGGAUGAUGAUGAGGAGCUCCUAGAGGUGGUUCCUGAGGAAUUGGCUAACGAGGAGUUGUUGGAACUGGAACAGGAAUGCAUAGUUGAAGAAAAGGCAAGAGAAAGGGAAACUACAAGAGAAGAAAAAGAAGAAAUCCCCCCCCAAGAAAAUUCACAGUGAAGAGUUUAGCAGAAGCUUUUGCAAACCUCAAGAAGCUCCUUAAAAAGUUUGAAAACAUGGACCCCCAAACCAAAGGAUUUUCAUUAAUGCAGAAGGGUGUUCAUGGUGCAUUAUCUGCUUACAAGGAAAUCUGUGAUGAAAAAAGAAAGAAACCAAGCAAACCACCAUGGACAUGUUUCUGAAAAGAGUGGGACCUCCUCCAGAGUAGCCUCAGCAGGUCUUUUAGGAGAUAUUCCAGAAGAAGGCAUUGUGACCAUAGGAGAUGACAGCUCCAUGUGUGUUAUUGCCCCUGAAGACUUUCCAGUGGGACAAGAUAUAAAGUCUACAGGAGUGUACAGUAGUAUCCUAGGCCUUCACAUUCAGUCACUACUCGCUCACUGACUCACCUGGAGCAACUUCCAGUCCUGCAAGCUCCCUUCAUGAUCGUGUUGUGCAGUGGAGCGGAGCAACAUUAGGAAACAGAACACACUUCUGAACUGAGUUCACUAAUUAAGCAAACCCAUGUCUAUCUUUUGGAUGUGUAAGUUUCUUCCAUCUGUAAAAUUUGAAUCUAAAAAGAAAGCAAUUCCAAGUUGGAGUUAAAACACAAACUACACUCUAGAUUAGUAAAUUUUUUACCAGUCUCUUUGAGGUUAAAUCAUUUGAAUAACUGAUUUCUCUGUUGCUACGUCAGAUGAAAAUCAUCGGUUUCCUGAAAUGACUCAGAUUGUUUAAAACUAGACGCUUUAUAUAAAUUUCCUGUCAAGAGAUAUAAUUGCUCAUUUGUCACAUGUAGAGUGCAUUACCAUUCCUCAAUAAAUCUUAAAUUAAAAUGAUAGAUGUUCAGCCUUCAGAUAUAUCAUAGUGUGUGUGAUAAACAUCAAUACUAUUAUCUGGCCACAAGAUGGCAAAUUACACCUGAGCCCAGAGAGAACACAGGACUAGGAAACCACAGUCCUUACAGUGGUGUUUCCUUUCUUCUUCAUAUAUUUUGUAGCAUCCUUAGUGAUAUUUAUCACUAACAAUGGUUUUAUUUUCAAAGCUUCUUAAUUUUUAUUUGCUUCUUAAUUCUAAUUUUAGCAACCAACAACACAAUCAAGUCCAAACUCCUUUCUAACUCUCCUUUUUCCUAAACUUCCUUCUCUUUUUCCUUCUCUCUUCUCACUGUUUCUCUUUCUUUUUUGCUUUUAUUUUUCCUUUUCAAUACAAUAGUUACAGAAUACCAAACAUAACCUUUUUGCAAUAACCUUAAUGUAUUUUCAUCCUUCCAAUAUUGGCUUAAAAAAUCAAAUCAGAAUUUCUGUCCUUUUAAAAAUGUGCUUGGAUCAUGAUUAUCAAAUAAAGACC